rnacentral:lncRNA from 1 species
CGCGCCUGUGGUCCAAGCUUCUCCGGAGGCUGAGGUCGCCUGAGCCCUGGAGGUCGUUGCUGCAUUGAGCCGUGAACGCACCACUGCAUUCCAGCCUGGGCAACAGAGCGAGACUCUAUCUCAAAACAAAACAAAACAAAACAAGAAAAAGAAAAAAAGAAGAAAAUUUAAAAAAAGAAAAAGAAAAAGAAAACGUCCCAGGUCUGUUGAAGCACUAAGAAAAGCAGAAAAAGAAAGGGGAGCCAGGGAAGGGCUGGCAGGCUGUGCAAUUUAAGGGAGCACCAGAAAAACUGGCAAUCAAAUAAUAUAUUAAUGUAAUAUUUUAAAAAGUAAAAAUUAAUGCAGGAAAUCCGGGAGGAACAAAAUAAGAGUCAUGUGUACCUUAACAACAGGGUAAGGUCUGAGGAUUGCGUCAUUAGGCGAUUUUGUUGCUGUACGAACACCACAGAAUGUACUUUGACGACCUAGAUGGUGGAGCCUGGACACACCUCGGCUGUGUGGUGUGGCCUGCUGCUUCCAGGCUGCAAACCUGACAGCAUGGGGCUGUGCUGAAUACCGCAGACCAUUGUAAUUCAUGGGGAAAGCGUGAACGCAGUCCCCCACUACAACUAAUUAUGCAGUCGAGUUUUCCACAUUUGGGAAUAUCUCAGGGGUCAGCACAUCCGGAGUGCAAUCGAUGAGCCUCACGCUGGGAAAAACCACCUUCGUGAUCAUGGUAUCUUCCCUGCCAGGUAAGUAUUUGAAUUCCCAUUUAUUGAAGGAAUGGAUUAACAAGUAAAUAUAUGCAUGAAUACAAGCCCACAUGAGUAGGGGAACAGAUCGUUUUCUUUGCUCAGAAAAAUAAUCCUUCCUCCAAAUGUGUACCAGGACAGUAUGUCUACCUGCCUGCCCCUGAAAUUUAUGGGUUUCUAAAAUAGGUCUUACCCAUC